rnacentral:rRNA from 1 species
GAUGAACGCUGGCGGCGUGCCUAAUACAUGCAAGUCGAGCGAACGGACGAGAAGCUUGCUUCUCUGAUGUUAGCGGCGGACGGGUGAGUAACACGUGGAUAACCUACCUAUAAGACUGGGAUAACUUCGGGAAACCGGAGCUAAUACCGGAUGAUAUUUUGAACCGCAUGGUUCAAAAGUGAAAGACGGUCUUGCUGUCACUUAUAGAUGGAUCCGCGCUGCAUUAGCUAGUUGGUAAGGUAACGGCUUACCAAGGCAAUGAUGCAUAGCCGACCUGAGAGGGUGAUCGGCCACACUGGAACUGAGACACGGUCCAGACUCCUACGGGAGGAAGCAGUAGGGAAUCUUCCGCAAUGGGCGAAAGCCUGACGGAGCACAGCCGCGUGAGUGAUGAAGGUCUUCGGAUCGUAAAACUCUGUUAUUAGGGAAGAACAUAUGUGUAAGUAACUGUGCACAUCUUGACGGUACCUAAUCAGAAAGCCACGGCUAACUACGUG